UACGUAGGGCGCAAGCGUUGUCCGGAAUUAUUGGGCGUAAAGAGCUCGUAGGCGGUCUGUUACGUCCGCUGUGAAAACCCAGGGCUUAACCCUGGGCUUGCAGUGGAUACGGGCAGACUAGAGGCAGGUAGGGGAGAAUGGAAUUCCCGGUGUAGCGGUGAAAUGCGCAGAUAUCAGGAGGAACACCCGUAGCGAAGGCGGCACUCUGGGCCGAUACUGACACUGAGGAGCGAAAGCGUGGGGAGCGAACAGG
rnacentral:rRNA from 1 species